rnacentral:rRNA from 1 species
CGUACACUCCUGCGGGAGGCAGCAGUGGGGAAUAUUGCACAAUGGGCGCAAGCCUGAUGCAGCCAUGCCGCGUGUAUGAAGAAGGCCUUCGGGUUGUAAAGUACUUUCAGCGGGGAGGAAGGCGAUAAGGUUAAUAACCUUGUUGAUUGACGUUACCCGCAGAAGAAGCACCGGCUAACUCCGUGCCAGCAGCCGCGGUAAUACGGAGGGUGCAAGCGUUAAUCGGAAUUACUGGGCGUAAAGCGCACGCAGGCGGUCUGUCAAGUCGGAUGUGAAAUCCCCGGGCUCAACCUGGGAACUGCAUUCGAAACUGGCAGGCUAGAGUCUUGUAGAGGGGGGUAGAAUUCCAGGUGUAGCGGUGAAAUGCGUAGAGAUCUGGAGGAAUACCGGUGGCGAAGGCGGCCCCCUGGACAAAGACUGACGCUCAGGUGCGAAAGCGUGGGGAGCAAACAGGAUUAGAUACCCCGGUAGUCC